rnacentral:pre_miRNA from 1 species
CUCUAUCAGUUGAAGCUGCCAGCAUGAUCUUAGCCUUCCUCCUUUGUUGAGGAAAGAAACAGAUCAUGUGGCAGUUUCACCUGUUGU